UUGACUUUUUAGGGCUAAAGACAUUUUUCUCAUGUUUUUGUUUAAAUCUUAGAUUUCUAUCAACUUAAUUCAGGAAAUAUAUUUUAAACUGAUAUUUUUUAAGAAACUUCAUAUUAAUGCUUUAAAAUUGCCCAAAUGAAGACCCUUUUGUGCUUUUAAAUAAGGAAUGAUGGUUUCACAUACAAGUCCAUUUCAUAUACAGAUUUUUCCAAAAAUAGCUGAUUUGUGGUAUUAUUAGCAGCUUGUUCCUUUAGUGAAAGUAGAUAUUUAUUCAUUAACAUUGUGUAAUUUUGUUUUUCAAUCCCAGUGGGAUUGUUUUUGUUUCAAAAAGAGAAACAUUACUUUCUAUUAUUGCUGCUUAUUAGCUUGAUUAUUGUGGUACCCAAUACAUAGUUGUAUAAUACAGUUAAGAGCACCAGGCCAUCAUCACAGUUACAUAGGCAUGUCUUUAUAGAGAUGCCUGAAAAGUUUAUAGCCUUUUCCUGUUGGAAUUUUAUAUUUCUGUAAACUUCAGAACAAGGCGCUCCCAAGAAAAUAAGAUUACAGAACAGCAUGAAGUGAAAAUAAAAACAUGAGGUAAACUAGUCCACUUUAAAAAAAGAAAAAAAUUAAUACCACUUGAUGUAAUAUAGCGACAUACUUUUAUCCAUAUAUAUCAUUACAUAGUAAAUGGUUUGUUGUUUUUUACAUUUCUCCCCUUUCUAAGAUUGACUUCUCCUAUUAUUGUUUUUGACCAAGUAAAUGUAUGCUCUUGUAUUUAUGUAUGCUAAUGUAUGCUAUUUUACGUAAUGAACAGGAGAGUUAAAUUUGAAUUAAGAUUUUUUUUCAACUCUGUAUGUUAACUUCUACCUGCAGUGUAGAUUUAUUGCCUUGCAUUUGUCAGCCAAUAGACUAUUACUUAAAUGUUCUGUAUUCUUUGAGAAAUUGACUUUGUAGUAGUUGUGUAAUUUUGCUUUUAUUGUCCCAUUUGAUAUGAUGAUAUAGAUUUAUAGAUGGAUGAUGGUAUCACACUGAUCACAUUUAAUGACAUUUCUGCAGUCUCUUUUUGUUGACAGAUAUGCAGAUGCACCAUUAUUUCACUUUUGGAGAGGUCUGAGUUUUGUGUCUAAAUUUUUGUUUGAUGGGUUUUUGUUUUUGUUUUUUGGCUCUCUCUCAAAGUGGCUUGGACUAGGAAUUUCAAAUGUGUUGCCGUCAUUUGACCUCAAAAAGAUCUGGGGUUUACAUGUGUACUGAACCAUGCUGGGUGGACAGUUGAAAGUUACUUGCCUUGAAAUAACCUUCUAUGUGCUAUGCAAAGUAGUAGUAUAUCCAAGCUUUUGUGAGGAGUACUUUUGCAUGUAACAAAUCCCAGAGAUGUAAUCUGCAGGUUUUAAAUUCUGUGCCCUGAAUUUGUUCAGGAUCUGAAGGUUGUGUAUACUGCAAGAACUCCUGCAAAGAUUGCAGAUUCUGUGCUCCUAAUUGUAGUUGCUUAUCUACAUAUUAUCAUACAUCAUUAUUAUAUACAGUGGUCAUCAUUAAAAUAUGGACAUUUAUCAUUUUAAAUCAUUAGCAUUGCUUUGGUAUGAAAGAUAUCCUCUGUAUGUUGUUGGAAUUUGUGACCCCAUUUAGCAUGCAUAUUAAGUGUCAAUGUACUGUACUGAGUACCAGUUUUAAAUGACUGCAUUAUUAAUUGGUGACAUAGUGUGAAUUGUCAUCUGCCUAUGCUCAGGUUAUGUGUUGUGUUCACUGCUCUUCAUAAUACUUUGACGAUAAAAGUCUUUAACUACUGUAAAUGCAAACACUUGCAUUAUCUAAUCUUCACGAUACCUCUGUGAAGGAUGUGAGCAGGGUUUCAAAUACCUUCCUUCCCAGGAUGAAUAAAAUGUUUGCCCUGGUGAAUUGGGCUGUGAAUCCCCUGCCUGCUUCUGUGGAGAAGAGGAGCACAGAAUAGCCCUGUUGCUGCUCCUUUAGAAGGAGGGAAAAGGAGAAAGCGGGAGUAGAGUGGCUCAGGCAUACUAGUCCAUUUUUAGGAGGGGAGAGGAUGAAAGAGACCAGAGUAGUUGGAGCCUUGACUUUUCAGAGGGUAAUCAGGAGGGAGGAGCAGAGGGCCCAGGUGGAGAGGUUUAUGAUAGGUCAAGGACCUUCUGAAUGUCCAGCAGUGGGGCAGUUGCAGCACAACAGAACCCUGCAAAGAAGUAGCAGGAACCAAAUUGAUUUUUAUUUAUUUUUUGUUUGUUUGUUUGUUUGGACAGGAGGGGCAGAUUUAAUUGUUAGCAGCAUUGUGAUUUAUUAAUGACAUUGAAGAUGGGGCAAUAGUAAUUAAAUUAGACUGGAUUUUGAGGGGGCAAGUCAUGAGAGAUUAGAUGAGUGUUCUGGCAAAUGAGUGUCAGAGACGUUCUUCAAACCCUGUAGCAGACACGCCUAACCUGCGAAAAAAACACAGAAAUUGGGCUUGGUUUUGGCUUAAUUGGCUUGUGAGUUGCUUGUUGGCUACUUUUUGGCUUGUAGGUUUUGCUUGUGUGGCUUGUAGCUUAUUGCUUGUUUUUUUGAUCUGCUCCUGGCAAACAUGGGAAAGGGGGGGCAAAGAGGGGGAGAGAGUCACGGGUGCACAGCAGGCCCACCACAGGCCCAGAUUGCACGCUGGGGGGAUCUAGUCAUAUAGAGUGUUGGGGUUCUUAGGGAUUGGCUUGUUAUGGCCUUGUUUUGAAAUGGGAUUUGCUUGAUUUUUGGCUUAUUGUGAAAGUCGGGGUGCUUAUUUACCACGUGAAAGUUGGCAGCUGUGCCCUGUAGUUGAGUAUUCUCUCCUUUUUGAAGCUGGAGAAAUUGAGAGAGAGAGAGAGAUGUUAAAGUUGUUCAAAACCACUGUAGUAGUUGAUUUCAAAGCCAUGAUUAGAACACAAGAGUCUGACUCCAGUCUGAUAUUCAUCCCACCAUGCCAUGCCAUGCCAUCAUUCAGUAUGUAGUAUAUGCUACCUGGAAGACAUUUUUGGAUUACUGUUGGUCAGGUGAUACCCAGCUGUGUACUUCUCCGUCUCCAGAAGGGGCUUUUUAGUGAUAUAAAAAGCCAAGGUGGAGGUCUCGAGAGCCCCAGUUAUUCAACCACAUACAUGCUUGCUGGGACUACUUACUAUGUGCAAGUCUUUGCAGGACUGGAACCUGAAAGAGUAAUGGUGACUGAAGGGAAGAGUCUGGUGUCGCUGUCUAGGUGCAUGUAGUUUGAUUUCAUUAACUUUUUGUGUUUUACUGUUUCAAAAUGUUAUGGCUCUCGUGUGUGUGUGUGUAGAUUUCUGUAACUGCUUUGCAAUUGGAAUUUUAUUAUAGGUAUCACCCUUGAAAAUGUUUUUGCUAUUCUAAUGGAAGAUAACCAACUGUAUAUGAAUUCCCACUGCAGUGCUGUAACUAAGAGCAUGAACAUGAUCCUUGAAUGUGUAAUCAGAGGAAUAUCAAUUUCAGGAGACAUGUUGGAAAGAGAUGAAAGAGCCAAAUUUAAAUGAGGCAAAAGUGACCUGUCUGUGCUAGCAUAAUUUGCCACUCAUAAAGCUGUAUUAUGAAACUCUUUCAAGGUGGGCUACUGGCAUCACUGGUCACUUUCUAUUACAGAAAAAAAUAUUUCAGAGCUACAUACUUUCAUAUAGUUGAUGGAGUGUUGUACUGUAGAUUGUUCUUGUCUCAAUUUUUGUAUGGAUUGACUUUGCCCCCCUACGUUAGAAAAAUGAAUAUUUCAGUUCAUUCCCAUAUCUACCUGUCUAUAUCUGAUAUAUAUUAUUCAACACACAGAAUUCCUUCAAUGUAUUUACUGUUUUAUGUCAGGAGAAUUUUUGUUUAAACAGAAUUUCUGUGGAGUGCCCUGAAAAGCAGUAAGGUAGUUCUGAAUCCUGUUGUUCUCUGGGACCCCCAUACAAGAUCUGGAAUUAUAACUGCAUAUAUAGGCUUAAUAGUGAGGAGUUAGUGCUUGCCUUGGAGAGGUCUCAUUUAUACCUGUUAGUCUCUCACUCCUGUUUUAAAGCCUGAAAUUUAAAUAUACUGUUCUUGAACUCGGUGGCGUAAUCAAUAUUUAAUUACACCAUUGUAAAAUAUACUUGAAAUGCUUUUAGAAAAACAAAUACGGGAUUUUCUCUUGCUGUAAGACAAGAUGACUAAUUCAAUCUUAUGAAGUAUGAUCUCAUUGUAGCUAGCAGGAAAUUACAGUUUUUGUUGAUACCUGUUUAACCUCAUUAAUUUAACGUUUUGGGGUAACAAAAGCCUUCUGUUAAAGUUUUAACAUUCUUGUCCUUUUUAAAUGUUAUAGCUUGUACAAACAUCCCUGAUGCCUCCCAGAAGUUCUCCAACAAAACCAGGGAAAACUAGACUUGAUAUUCCUGAUAUUUCUAAGGUUUAAAACAAACCCAAUCAGAAUUUAAAAAUAAAAAAAUGAAAAAAAAAAAGAGGCCUUCUUUUACACAUCAUAGAGAAGCAAAAAACAGUAUAAAUAUUGAUUUAAUCCUUUGCAGGUCAUCUUCAUCAGCAAUAAUAGAUGUGGACUUCACAUACAAUUCAAAUAUGGAUUAAUAUCGUAAACAUUAGAAAAGUUAUGGGUAUGCAAAAGAUGUGUGUGUCCUGUUUUGUAUGAUUCUAUGAAUCAUAGCUUUUUUUUGUUUUUUACAAGCAAAAUUAACAGACAGCAGUCUUGUAGAAUAUAACAGUGAUUUCAGAAGUAGGGACGGCUCUAGGCACCAGCAAAGCAAGCAGGUGCUUGGGGCGGAAAAUUACCAGGGGCAGCAUAAUGCUGGGGCCCCAGCUCCGACCUGAGGCAGCGUCCUGGACUGGAUCCUGACUGCCCCGGGGGGCGGUAACCAGCCUGUUGCUCUGAUUGGGUGCUCCGAUUGGCUGUGCGGCAGGGCAAGAGAAGCCGGCUCAGUGAGGAGUGUGUCCCCGUCGCUCUCCCAUGGGCAGCAGCCACACCCCCUCAGGCGGGAGCCGGUAGCACGGCCCUGCCCCGGCCGCGGAGCGCAUGGGGUGGUGGCAGAACAUAGUGGCUGGGCGGGAACAUAGUGGCUGCAGGCUCCUCCUCAGUUUGUCCCCGCCGCUGCCUCCUAUCUGGGAAGGGGAGGGCUGAGCCGAACGUGUGCUCUCUCUCAGCAGGAGUCCGAGAAGAUGGACAGGGCCAAGGCAAGAAUGAGCGGGGCCGGGAUCCAGCAGCAGCCCUAACCACCAGCGUCGGGAGUGUUGGUGGCGGGAGACGAGUCCUCGGACAGUGAGGGGGGAGCAUGAGGGCCCCCAGAAACUCGUCCAGAAAGUGUCCACCUCAGGCCAGAUCUGCUGCAAGGUGACCAUGAAUGAUAUCACUCUCCUGAGGAUAACACAGAGAGAUAAAGAACAGAUGUUGCUUGAAUGCCAGCAAACACCGGGACUGUACGCUGCCCUGCUUUGUUAUGCAGUGAUUCCAGACUACGUGCUACUGGCCUGGCAUGGUAAAGUGUCCUACCAUGGAGGAUGGAAUAAGGCUGCCCUCCCCAGAAACCUUUUGCAAAGGCUUUGGGAGUACCCCC